rnacentral:lncRNA from 1 species
UUUUUAGUCCAAUCUGGCAGCCUAUUUUUACCUUGAACAAAUUCUUUAUUCUUUUUUAGUAGCCUUUUCUUUUGCAAUACAUUCAAAUUUAUAGUGACCAAUUUUACCACAGUGUGUGCAAAUUAUGUUCUCAAGAAGUGUGAGGUACUUGCUUUUAGGAUCCCACUUAGGUGCUGGGGUCCCAUAGCCAAGUCCUCUCUUGUUGCUAUUAUGGUGCUCUUGUAGCCUGGAUAGUGCAUCAGAGGACUUAUUCCAUUUGCAAGUUCUAUCUAGUUCAUGCGUCACAUUUCCUAGAUCUUCUUUUAGGACUCUCAUUUGCUCAUCUUUUUUGUACAACUCAUCUUUUAUUUUAUCUAGAUUUUCUUCUAAAGUAGGCUGUGUGUGAUCAGCUUUCUUUUUACCU